CGGGGGGAGCUGGCGCUCGCCGCGCGACAGCGCGGAGGAAAGUCCGGACUCCAGGUGGAGGCACGCUGGGUAACGCCCAGCCGCGGCAACGCGAGGGAAAGUGCCACAGAAAACAUACCGCCCCGCACCACUUCCCCUCCGGAAGGGCGGUCUCGCCCGGUCGGCAGGAACGAAGGGCGGCGCAGUGGUGAGAGUUUCCGUGGGGGAAGUGGUGCGGGGUAAGGGUGAAAAGGUGGGGUAAGAGCCCACCGCCCGAGCCGCGAGGCGAGGGGCACGGCAAACCCCGUGCGGAGCAAGGCCAAAUAGGGGGACCGACGGGCUCCACCACCGGUCCCGCCCGCCGCCAGGCGGGUGGGGGGUCCCCGGGUGGGCCGCUCGAGCCGGCCGGCAACGGCGCGGCCAGAUGAAUGAGCGCCGCCCGCUCCCGCGAGCGGGCACAGAAUCCGGCUUACCGCUCCCCCCGGUGC
rnacentral:RNase_P_RNA from 1 species